CCGGAAUCACUGCGCCUGCGCGAGAGAAAGCCUGCGGCCGGGCUGGCGCUUGCGAAGAGGGAGCUACGUAACCUCAGGUUGUGGUUAAAAACAUUUGGAGGAUUUCUGGUGCUAGGCAAGAUGAAGCGAGCCCGCUGCAGCCUCUCUCUGCCACUAAAUACAACUCAAAAUUCUGGACAAAAUACAACUACCUAAGAACUCUGAAAAGUAAACAAGCAGGCAUAUAUGGGCGGCGGAGUCAAAGCUGGAAGAAGCUCUCAGUACGGGUGGAUGUCGUAGCUGGAGUGCUACUUGCCACCUUGACCAUGAAGACCUAGAGAAUAGCCCAGGCUCCUGAAGGCUCUGUGAAACAGACUCACCCUACAAGC